GGAGAAGGACACUGGAACGUCCCUUCUUUUAAAAGUGAUGCUAAAGGGUGAGUUGGCGGCUGAUUAGACUGUUGGCGAGGUAAAGGCUCACCAAAUCUACGAUCAGUACGGGCCUUGAGAGAGGUAGCCCGGAGAAGGACACUGAGAUACGGGUCCUAGCCCCACGGGGUGCAGCAGGCGCGAAACCUUUACACUAUACGAAAGUAUGAUAAGGGAAUCCGAAGUGCUUAUACAUUGUAUAGGCUUUUGCCAAAGGUAAAUACUUUGGCGAAUAAGUGGUGGGUAAGACUGGUGCCAGCAGCCGCGGUAACACCAGCGCCACAAGUGGGAGCCAGUUAUAUUGGGCCUAAAGCGUUCGUAGCCUGUUUAAUAAAUCUUAUGUGAAAUCGUGGGCCUCAAUCUUACGAAUUGCAUAAGACACUGUUAAACUUGGGACCGGGAGGAGUCAGAAGUAUUCUUGGGGGAGCGGUAAAAUGCUAUUAUCCCUUGAAGACUACCUGUGGCGAAGGCGUCUGACUAGAACGGAUCCGACGGUGAGGGACGAAAGCUAGGGGAGCAAUCCGGAUUAGAUACCCGAGUAGUCCUAGCUGUAAACGCUGCGAGUUAGGUGUUGCACAUUCUUAGAGAAUGUGCAGUAUCGAAGCGAAGGCAUUAAACUCGCCGCCUGGGAAGUACGGUCGCAAGACUGAAACUUAAAGGAAUUGGCGGGGGAGCACCACAAGGGGUGCGGCGUGCGGUUUAAUCUAACUCAACGCAGAGCAUUUCACCAGGGGCGACAGCAGGAUGAAAGUCAGUCUGAAGGGCUUACUCAACAAGCUGAGAGGUAGUGCAUGGCCGUCGUCAGCUCGUGCCGUAAGGUGUCCUGUUAAGUCAGGCAACGAGCGAGACCUGUGCCCACAAUUGCUAACGGGAAAUUAUUUUGACCGAGAACAUUGUGGGGACUGCCCUCGAAAGAGGGAGGAAGGUGCAGGCCACGGUAGGUCUGUAUGCUCCGAAUCCUCUGGGCUACACGCGCGCAACAAUGGUAGGGACAAUUGGAUGCAACUCCGAAAGGAGAAGCCAAGCCUCGAAACCCUAUCCUAGUCUAGAUUGAGGGUUGUAACUCACCCUCAUGACACUGGAAUCCCUAGUAAUCGGAUCUCAUCAUAGUCCGGUGAAUACGUCCCUGCUCCCUGCACACACCGCCCGUCAAACCACUCGAGCAGAGUUUAGGUGAGGGUUAGUUUCAUUGAUUAAUCCGAACCUAAGCCCAGUGAGAUGGGUUAAGUCGUCACAAGGUA
rnacentral:rRNA from 1 species